GACGAACGCUGGCGGCGUGCCUAAUACAUGCAAGUCGAACGCAGUGGGGGCGGGUGAGUAACACGUGGGUAACCUCCCAUCAGAGGGGAUAACACUUGGAAACAGGUGCUAAACCGAUACUGAUGGAUGAACCCGCGGUGCAUUAGCUAGUUGGGGAGGGAACGGCUCACCAAGGCCACGAUGAAUAGCCGACCUGAGAGGGUGAUCGGCCACACUGGGACUGAGACACGGACCAGACUCCUACGGGAGGCAGCAGUAGGGAAUCUUCGGCAAGGGACGAAAGUCGGACCGAGCAACGCCGCGUGAGUGAAGAAGGUUUUCGGAUCGUAAAACUCUGUUGUGAGAGAAGCGGUAUCUAACCAGAAAGCCACGGCUAACUACGUGCCAGCCGCCGCGGUAAUAC
rnacentral:rRNA from 1 species